rnacentral:rRNA from 1 species
UACAGACGGUCCAAACGUUAUUCGGAAUCACUGGGCUUAAAGAGUUCGUAGGCGGUCAGGAAAGUGGGGUGUGAAAGCCCUCGGCUUAACCGAGGAAUUGCGCUCCAAACUCCCUGACUUGAGGAGGCUAGAGGUAAGCGGAACUGAUGGUGGAGCGGUGAAAUGCGUUGAUAUCAUCAGGAACACCGGAGGCGAAGGCGGCUUACUGGGGCCUUUCUGACGCUGAGGAACGAAAGCUAGGGAGCGAACGGG